CCUACGGGAGGCUGCAGUCGAGAAUCUUCGUCAAUGGGCGAAAGCCUGAACGAGCGACGCCGCGUGUGGGAUGAAGGCCCUUGGGUUGUAAACCACUGUCGAGGGGGAUGAAGGCUUGAAGGUACUCCUUCAAGUUUGACAGAGCCCUGGAGGAAGCACGGGCUAAGUUCGUGCCAGCAGCCGCGGUAAUACGAACUGUGCGAACGUUAUUCGGAAUCACUGGGCUUACAGGGUGCGUAGGCGGCUUUUCAGGUCAGGUGUGAAAGCCCCCGGCUCAACCGGGGAACUGCGCUUGAAACCGAAAGGCUCGAGUCAGCUAGAGGUACACGGAACUUCCAGUGGAGCGGUGAAAUGUGUUGAUAUUGGAAGGAACACCGGAGGCGAAAGCGGUGUACUGGGGCUGGUCUGACGCUGAGGCACGAAAGCCAGGGGAGCGAACGGGAUUAGAUACCCGUGUAGUC
rnacentral:rRNA from 1 species